ACUGCCUACGUGUUUACAUUUUCUCACACGGAGUGGACAAGCGAAGUUUCAAAUCAAGCGAACGCUUCCUUGAGAAGUAAGAAGAUGGCUACGGCAAAUCGGUCUCUACAACUACAUUUGACUGUUUUAUGCCUUCUACUGAAGCACUCUGUGAAUGCUGAAGAAGGACAAAAAGCUGAUGACCAGAUUUUGCAUUGAUACUGGGAGUGUCUUUGGGCUGUGUAAUGUUGUUGAUCUUCUGCAUUGUUGCUUGUUGUUAUUGCAAGGCCAAGAAAGAUUCAAGGUUCAAAGUCACUAGAGUGAGCCACGGAAGCUGGGAAUUUGAAAAAGAUGCCCCGUAGGAGGCAGAACAUUCGAUGAUGAUGGCUUACCUGUCGAUACUAACAACCAUGACAGAAUGACUGUCUGAGGAUGACUUUGAAAUAAAGUCGAAAAUUUACAGUUUA